UGAACGCUGGCGGCGUGCUUAACACAUGCAAGUCGAACGAGGGUUACUGGUUGAAGUUUUCGGAUGGAAACCGGUAAUUCCUAGUGGCGGACGGGUGAGUAACGCGUGGGGAACCUGCCCCGCUCCGGGGGAUACCAGCUGGAAACGGCUGUUAAUACCGCAUAAGCGCACAGUAUCGCAUGAUGCAGUGUGAAAAACUCCGGUGGAACGGGAUGGCCCCGCGUCUGAUUAGCCAGUUGGCAGGGUAACGGCCUACCAAAGCGACGAUCAGUAGCCGGCCUGAGAGGGCGACCGGCCACAUUGGGACUGAGACACGGCCCAAACUCCUACGGGAGGCAGCAGUGGGGAAUAUUGCACAAUGGGGGAAACCCUGAUGCAGCGACGCCGCGUGAGUGAGGAAGUAUUUCGGUAUGUAAAGCUCUAUCAGCAGGGAAGAAGAUGACGGUACCUGCACAAGAAGCCCCGGCUAACUACGUGCCAGCAGCAGC
rnacentral:rRNA from 1 species